rnacentral:rRNA from 1 species
GAUGAACGCUGGCGGCGUGCCAAUACAUGCAAGUCGAGCGAACGGACGAGAAGCUUGCUUCUCUGAUGUUAGCGGCGGACGGGUGAGUAACACGUGGAUAACCUACCUAUAAGACUGGGAUAACUUCGGGAAACCGGAGCUAAUACCGGAUAAUAUUUUGAACCGCAUGGUUCAAAAGUGAAAGACGGUCUUGCUGUCACUUAUAGAUGGAUCCGCGCUGCAUUAGCUAGUUGGUAAGGUAACGGCUUACCAAGGCAACGAUGCAUAGCCGACCUGAGAGGGUGAUCGGCCACACUGGAACUGAGACACGGUCCAGACUCCUACGGGAGGCAGCAGUAGGGAAUCUUCCGCAAUGGGCGAAAGCCUGACGGAGCAACGCCGCGUGAGUGAUGAAGGUCUUCGGAUCGUAAAACUCUGUUAUUAGGGAAGAACAUAUGUGUAAGUAACUGUGCACAUCUUGACGGUACCUAAUCAGAAAGCCACGGCUAACUACGUG